UGGUAAUAUGGAUGACAAGGCCAGCUCUCUUUUUCAAAGCCUCGGCAUUAACAAUUACAGUGCUUUCUUUCUUUCUUUCUUUUGAUUCUUAGCUUCAAGAUAUGAGCUUGUUGUUGAAUUAAUAAGGUUUUUUUUUCUUUCUUCUGGCUUGUAUUUUGCUAAUGCCGCACGCCGUUGGGGUUUUGCAAAGAGAGCUUCCUUUAGUCCACUCAUGGCCGGCUAUGGGAUCAAAUUAGCUGCUGACUCAUUCAUCCACGUUCCGAGCAAUGAAUGCCUUAAGGAGUUUGCUCGGUAGAUGAGUGAAUGAUGCGGGAGCUAAAUGGGUUCUCAUGCUGCCUUUGCUUGGACUGAAGGGAGCUCCCUUGUCUUCACAAUCCUCCUGCGCUGCACUGCACUGUGCAAGUUGAUUAAUCUUAAUUUGCAAGAUGUACGUAGUCCUGUCGAUUGAUUCUUGGUUAACAGUAAUUUGUAAGUGGACCAUAAGUAGGUUAAAAAUGCAACCCUAACCCUAAUCUUUCCUUGUGGUUUUUGAUUCGUCGAUAGUAGUGGAGCAUUGUUGAACUCCCGCUGCUUUAGUUCCUCGCACAAGUUCCGAACUCCGCUGCUCCUUCCCCGACGCCCGCCACUACUUGAUUAAAAUAAUUGCCUUAAGGUGCAGGAAGGCGGCGAUUCUUUCUUCCCAAUCUCGCUCUGGAAUUGGCUGGAUGGUUCCAUGCGUCGUCUCCGCUGGGGGGCGCUGUCUCUGAGUUCCAAGUGACCAUGGCGUGCAUGGCCGCCCAGUCCUCGAUGCUGCCUGCUGCCGUUGCCGGUUUCUUUUGCGCUCUGUUCUCGAUUGAUGUCUUUUAAUAAGGUUACACCAAACUGGUCGUACAAAGACAGUAUGUUGUGUGCUUGUAUUAGUUAUUUUUUAUGAUUUUUUUUUAAAUGAGACUUUUGUUGAAAUCAGUCUUUAUAAGGGGUGUUGAAAUCAGUCUUUACAAGGGUACAUUGAUACAAACAAAGCAUGGAUAUGGUGUCUCUAAUCUUGGGGUGCGAGUGAAGUGACUCUUAAAAAGAUGCUUCCUCUCAAGCUUUGCUUUGCUUCGUUGACACUAUCAAGUCACAAAUCUAGGCUUAACCCUGUCCAACCAGACCAAAAAUCACGAGAGGCAUGUUGAGUCUUGGCUGACAAGAUCAAGUUUGUGAAAGUUGUGUUUUUGGAAGGGAUCAUGCAUCAGUAAGGCAAGAAGGGCUUGCCAACAACCAGUGUUCUUGUAGUCAUCAUUCAAUGUAUGUAGUCCAGUAGAUUGAAUGAGUCGACAACUUUUCUACUCGACUAUAGCUAAAUAAAAAAUAUCUUUGCUCGGCAAAUAACUCACCAA